GAAAAUUGUUAUUUUUGAACCAGAAUAAAAUGUUAAAUUUUAAGCAUGUUCAAAGUUUUUGUGGAAACACAAAAUAAUGGUUAAAAUUUCAAUGAUGAUUAACAUUUUUCGUUCCGCGUCCACCAUUGUUUUUUUUCAUUCGGGUCAGGUAAUUUUCGUCAAAACAAUGCUUCGUUAUUCUCUUGCAAUUCACUAAUAAGAAAUGCGCCGUGAUCGUCGGAUUUUCAACUUAAAUGGUGCAGUGGAAAAAUGUGCCGAAUAUACCAACCGAUGGGAACAAGGAAGAUCCGGAUAUAGGAUCCCAGUUUAAAGAAGAAAAGCAGGAGAAAAGGUCAUUCCCCAUGGUCAUCUAGGCAUGCGAUUUCAUCUUCCGGAGUAAGUGGGACGAGCAAGAUCCGGAACUUGACCCUCGGCAAAUGGUGGAUUGAAAUUCAAUUUUUAUAUUUCCCGAAUCACGGUUUGACUGCAGUAGCUCAAGAAGUAUGUUUUAUUACGAGCAAUUAACCAGUAGCCCUCCAAAGGAACCGGAUUAGAAAUUAUUCCUGUCAAGUUGUAGGAUCCCCAGGCCGGGAGAGUACAGCAUCAUACGUGACCAUACCUCAAUCGAAGUUGUGAACCAUCGAUGGAAAAAUAAUUUUAUGUUAUAAAUGAAUGUUGUUGAAUCCAUGUUAAAAGAUGUAACUUGUUAGUUUAAUUCUAUAUCGUUUUAAUUAAAUAAAACAACAAUGACGAAUUA